AUUGAACGCUGGCGGAAUGCUUUACACAUGCAAGUCGAGCGGCAGCGCGGGGGCAACCCUGGCGGCGAGCGGCGAACGGAUGAGUAACACAUCGGAACGUACCCAGUUGAGGGGGAUAGCCCGGCGAAAGCCGGAUUAAUACCGCAUAAGUCCUGAGGGAGAAAGCGGGGGACCGCAAGGCCUCGCGCGAUUGGAGCGGCCGAUGUCGGAUUAGCUAGUUGGUGGGGUAAAGGCUCACCAAGGCGACGAUCCGUAGCUGGUCUGAGAGGAUGAUCAGCCACACUGGGACUGAGACACGGCCCAGACUCCUACGGGAGGCAGCAGUGGGGAAUUUUGGACAAUGGGGGAAACCCUGAUCCAGCCAUUCCGCGUGAGUGAAGAAGGCCUUCGGUUGU
rnacentral:rRNA from 1 species